GAUGAAGAACGUAGCGAAAUGCGAUAAGUAAUGUGAAUUGCAGAAUUCAGUGAAUCAUCGAGUCUUUGAACGCACAUUGCGCCCCCUGGUAUUCCGGGGGGCAUGCCUGUCCGAGCGUCAUUGCCGCCCUCAAGCACGGCUUGUGUGUUGGGCCCCCACCCCCCGGCUUCGGGGGGCGGGCCCGAAAGGCAGCGGCGGCACCGCGUCCGGUCCUCGAGCGUAUGGGGCUUCGUCACCCGCUCUGUAGGCCCGGCCGGCGCCCGCCGGCGACCCCAAUCAAUCUUUCCAGGUUGACCUCGGAUCAGGUAGGGAUACCCGCUGAACUUAAGCAUAUCAAUAAGCGGAGGA
rnacentral:misc_RNA from 1 species